rnacentral:rRNA from 1 species
CAGUCGCCGCGGUAAUACGGAGGGUGCAAGCGUUAAUCGGAAUUACUGGGCGUAAAGCGUGCGCAGGCGGCUAUGCAAGACAGAUGUGAAAUCCCCGGGCUCAACCUGGGAACUGCAUUUGUGACUGGAUGACUAGAGUACGGCAGAGGGGGAUGGAAUUCCGCGUGUAGCAGUGAAAUGCGUAGAUAUGCGGAGGAACACCGAUGGCGAAGGCAAUCCCCUGGGCCCGUACUGACGCUCAUGCACGAAAGCGUGGGGAGCAAACAGGAUUAGAUACCCCCGUAGUCCCUGUCUCUUAUAC